CAAAUGGGGGAUCUCAGAAGUCUUAAUGAAGUAACUAUCCCUGAACACUGGGAUCAAUACUCAGAAUCCAGCCGUCAAAUCAACACCAAGCCGCCUCCUGGAACAGAUUGUUAAGCUGAUGCGAGUCUGGGCUCUGCCUCACCACUUGUCUCAGAGACAGAGUCUUGCUCUGUCACCUAGGCUGGAGUGCAGUGGUGCCAUCACAGCUCACUGCAGCCUUGACCUCCCCGUGCUCAAGUGAUCCUCACACCUCAGCCUCCCGAGUAGCCGGGAUCACAAGUUAAACAAACACAGUUCUUUACAUCAAUGCUUCCGUCCCUGGCCAUCUGGUCUCCUGUCCCCUCCAGAACCAAAACCAUGGGCUGUGCUGCAGCAAAAUGAGGAUGUACUCAGUGCACUGAGGCCCAUGUACCAUGAGAGAUGG
rnacentral:lncRNA from 1 species